rnacentral:tRNA from 1 species
UCACUGGAGGACUAGUGGUUAGGCCACAGCGCACUCACUGCUGCGUCCCGGGUUUGAUUCCUGGCCAGGGAA